UGCGGGUAUACAGAUAAUGUAGUUUAAUUAUAUUAGUGUUAAUUAAUUUUUAAUAAAGAAAUUUUUAUAUAAAUUUUAUUAAGUGGAAUUUUAUUAUUUAUGAUAAAAUUAUUUUAUAUAAAUGAAGUUAAAAAAUUUUAAUUAUAGACUAGGAUUAGAUACCCUAUUAUUUAAAAUGUAAAUUUUUACAUUAAAUUAUUAUAAGUUAUUGUCUUUAAAAUUAAGAAUUUUGGCGGUAUUUUAGUCUUUUCAGAGGAACUUGUUUUUUAAAUGAUAAUCCACGAUUAGUAUUACUUUAUUUAUUAGUUUGUAUAUCGUCGUGUUUAAAUAUUUUUUUAGAAUUUUAAUAUUUAAGAUUUUUAAUUAAAAAAUUUAUCAGAUCAAGGUGCAGUUUAUAAUAAAGUUAAAAUGAGUUACAAUAAUUAUAUUUUUGGAUAAUUAAAAUUAUAUUAAUUUGAAAUUGGAUUUGAAAGUAAUUUAAAAAAUUUUUUUAAUUUGAUUUUAGCUCUAAGAUAUGU
rnacentral:rRNA from 1 species